rnacentral:rRNA from 1 species
UACGUAGGGAGCAAGCGUUGUUCGGAUUUACUGGGCGUAAAGGGCGCGUAGGCGGCAAAUUAAGUCAGCUGUGAAAUCUCCGAGCUUAACUCGGAACUGUCAGCUGAUACUGAUCUGCUAGAGUGCGGAAGGGGCAAUCGGAAUUCUUGGUGUAGCGGUGAAAUGCGUAGAUAUCAAGAGGAACACCUGAGGUGAAGACGGGUUGCUGGGCCGACACUGACGCUGAGUGCGCGAAAGCCCAGGGGAGCAAACGGGAUUAAGAAACCCGGG